rnacentral:rRNA from 1 species
UACGGAGGGGGCUAGCGUUGUUCGGAAUUACUGGGCGUAAAGCGCGCGUAGGCGGCUUUGUAAGUUAGAGGUGAAAGCCCGGAGCUCAACUCCGGAAUUGCCUUUAAGACUGCAUCGCUAGAAUCAUGGAGAGGUGAGUGGAAUUCCGAGUGUAGAGGUGAAAUUCGUAGAUAUUAGGAGGAACACCAGUGGCGAAGGCGAGUCUCUGGCACGCAUCUGACGCUGAAACACGAAAGCCAGGGGAGCGAACGGG